rnacentral:tRNA from 1 species
GCGCAAUGUACUUGUUCCUGUGGUAGACACACCAGAUUUAGGUUCUGGCGCCGAGAGGUGUGAGAGUUCGAGUCUCUCCGUCCGCACCA